rnacentral:lncRNA from 1 species
CUGCUUGCACCCUCCUCCUCCUCAUCCAGCGACGCACGAGGGAAGUGAGGAGAGGGAGGGGCACUCUGCAGAGACGAAGAUGAUGUUGAUGAUGGUGAUGAAGAAGAUGAAGAAGUGUGAUGAGGAGGAGGAGGGAGGACAGGAAGGAAAGGAGAAAGAAAGGAAUGAGUGAUCCGAAUUUUCCUUGCUUCCUUGCUUUUGGGGGGGGGGGGGGAGGGCGAGUUGCGGGCACAGCACCGCCAAACCCCACCAGCAAGGACACACGAAAUCCCCCUCCAAUGGAAAAUCGAGAACCGAACUAACGAAAGAAAAAGGAAAACGGACACUUGGAGAGUUUCUGCUCUACUCUUCAGUAACCAAAUCCUGAAAGCGGAGACAGCACAAGAAGCUGCAGCAGCAAAGCAGGUAGCUAGCUAAAGUAAGCAGCCAGCCAACCAGCCUAGGGUCCCUAUUGAGGAGUAAGGCAGUGAGGAGUGUAGGGCUUUUGGGCCACGCCUUUUGCCUCGCCGAUCCAUCUGGAGGCAGAGAGUCCAAUGGGGUUGCCCCCCCCCCCCCCACUUCCCUUUCCGUCUCCUUCCCUCCCCUUCCGCCUUCUUCUCUUGUUCUUAGUGUAGCUGUCUGCCCCUUCACGCUCCAAAUUUUCUUAUUUCUCUGGUCAGUACCUUCCCAUUUGCACUAGCCCUCUGCCCCCCUCUUCUUCUUGCACUGCUAGUCUAGUGUCGGUGACCCAUUGUUGCAACUACAUUCUCAUUCCAGUAGACGCAAGAUUCGUGAGUUGCAAGGUGGAGCAUUCAACAUUUCGUUUGUGGGCACUUCGAGUUUGUGGGUCUCCCAUUUGCCUUUGAGAGAGGGGGAUUGUCAUGGAUUUGGUAGAGUGGAGUGGGGUUUUUGGAUCUGUGAGGAGAUUAUGCAGGUGGGGUUAUGUAAUUGAAUUAUAAACGUUGGAUUCUGUGCAGAACUUGCGGACUUGGUAGGUGGCUCCUUGAGUAGGGUAGGAAAGUUGUACGUUUGUGGCAAUGGCGUUGUCCCCUGCCAUGACCAGGCAAGGGAGCCUAGUGGGAUUACAAAUCCAGCAGCCUACGUUGCGGCGGAGUUCUUACUUAGGGUUGCAGUUGACGUCUCAACCCUGUGCGAAGUUUUCUUCUAUUAGCAGAGGCAACUUGGACCUUCGCUGCCAAGUGAUCCCAAGCUCAACCACCCUGCCCCACUUCAAUGUUGACAUUUCUGGUGCGUUGCCUAUCCAUUUAAUUUUUGCAUUCUCAAACUAUGACUGUGUUUUGUGAAUAUUUAGGCUUUACUGCGUGAGGAUGAGCUCAAAGUUUCAGCGUAUAAGGAUUGAGACUCAAGAGUUAGGUCAUUUGAGAAAUUGUCUUUUCCAGGAGUGUUAAAAGUACGGGUUGUGCUCUGUGCG